CUUCAGUGAUCUGGGAGUGUUUAUAGUGCUGUGACUUUAACACUUCAUGACUGAGAGCUGCUGCUACAGCAACUUCACCCACAGCUACCAUGACUUUGAUCCCCGUCUUCAUCUGGACACUGAUCCUCUGGACUCAAGAAUGCAGAGGUCAAGUCACAGUAACUCAGACUCCUGCAGUGAAAUCUGUUCUUCCAGGAGAAACAGUCACCAUCAACUGUAAAACCAAUCCAGCAGUUUAUAAUAAUAACUACUUACACUGGUAUCAGCAGAAAUCUGGAGAAGCUCCUAAACUCCUGAUUAAGCUUGUAAAUCAGCUACAGUCAGGAUUUCCAGCUCGUUUCAGUGGCAGUGGAUCUGGAUUUCACUCUGACCAUCAGUGGAGUCCAGACUGAAGAUGCAGGAGAUUA